rnacentral:rRNA from 1 species
AGUGAACGCUGGCGGUAGGCCUAACACAUGCAAGUCGAACGGCAGCACAGUAAGCGCUUGCUCUUACGGGUGGCGAGUGGCGGACGGGUGAGGAAUACAUCGGCAUCUACUUUUUCGUGGGGGAUAACGUAGGGAAACAUACGCUAAUACCGCAUACGUCCUACGGGUGAAAGCAGGAGAUCUUCGGACCUUGCGCGAUUGAAUGAGCCGAUGUCGGAUUAGCUAGUUGGCGGGGUAAAGGCCCACCAAGGCGACGAUCCGUAGCUGGUCUGAGAGGAUGAUCAGCCACACUGGAACUGAGACACGGUCCAGACUCCUACGGGAGGCAGCAGUGGGGAAUAUUGGACAAUGGGCGCAAGCCUGAUCCAGCCAUACCGCGUGGGUGAAGAAGGCCUUCGGGUUGUAAAGCCCUUUUGUUGGGAAAGAAAAGCAGCAGGUUAAUACCCCGCUGUUCUGACGGUACCCAAAGAAUAAGCACCGGCUAACUUCGUG